rnacentral:rRNA from 1 species
UACAGGGGGGGCAAGCGUUGUUCGGAAUUACUGGGCGUAAAGGGCUCGUAGGCGGCCAACUAAGUCCGACGUGAAAUCCCAAAGCUUAACUUUGGAACUGCGUCGGAUACUGGAUGGCUUGAAUUCGGGAGAGGGAUGCAGAAUUCCAGGUGUAGCGGUGAAAUGCGUAGAUAUCUGGAGGAACACCGGUGGCGAAGGCGACAUCCUGGACCGGUAUUGACGCUGAGGCGCGAAAGCCAGGGGAGCAAACGGG